UACGUAGGUGGCUAGCGUUGCUCGGAAUCACUGGGCGUAAAGCGCACGUAAGCGGAUCUUUAAGUCAGGGGUGAAAUCCUGGAGCUCAACUCCAGAACUGCCUUUGAUACUGGGGAUCUCGAGUCCGGAAGAGGUGAGUGGAACUCCGAGUGUAGAGGUGAAAUUCGUAGAUAUUCGGAAGAACACCAGUGGCGAAGGCGGCUCACUGGUCCGGUACUGACGCUGAGGAGCGAAAGCGUGGGGAGCGAACAGG
rnacentral:rRNA from 1 species